rnacentral:rRNA from 1 species
UGGGGAAUAUUGCACAAUGGGCGCAAGCCUGAUGCAGCCAUGCCGCGUGUAUGAAGAAGGCCUUCGGGUUGUAAAGUACUUUCAGUCGGGAGGAAGGUGGUAAGGUUAAUAACCUUAUCAAUUGACGUUACCGACAGAAGAAGCACCGGCUAACUCCGUGCCAGCAGCCGCGGUAAUACGGAGGGUGCAAGCGUUAAUCGGAAUUACUGGGCGUAAAGCGCACGCAGGCGGUUGAUUGAGUCAGAUGUGAAAUCCCCGGGCUUAACCCGGGAAUUGCAUCUGAUACUGGUCAGCUAGAGUCUUGUAGAGGGGGGUAGAAUUCCAUGUGUAGCGAUGAAAUGCGUAGAUAUAUGGAGGAACACCAGUGGCGAAGGCGGCUCUCUGGUCUGUAACUGACGCUGAGGCUCGAAAGCGUGGGGAGCAAACAGG